UAUUCAUGUAUUUCUCUGAAUGAUUUGUGUAUGCGAGACUGGAAGACGUUAAUUAGUGGUGUCUUGUAAUCCCACAUGGGAUGGGCCAAAU